UAUGAGAAGAAGCUAUGAUGUUUCAAAUGAAAAGUUUGAAAGAAAAUCCCUUCGGAAGGUACGUAUCCUCAGUACACAAUUGUUUCUUUUGCAACUGCAUGGGGCUGACCAGUACCCGUGAUAUUUUUCAUAAAGAAGAAAGAGAGAGAUCCGUCAAUGACUCAUCGUGAUUUAUGAAGAAUGUAACAUCAUUCUGUCCUGAGCAGUACAGCCCUAUAACAAAACAGAAACAUGGUGUGCUGGGUGAUGUAGUUUUUUACUGGAUAUAUCACUACAUGCAAUAUCAAUCCCAAACAUCUUCUUACAACUAAUGGUUUCAAAUGUAUGCAAUUACUGUAAAGCCAAAGUUGGGAGUAAUUCCACAUUUUUCUUUUUUUUCUCUCACAAGGAAUUACAUCAUAUGAAGGAUGGGAAGAUGACCCCACCAGACCCCACAGCUUGUCAUGAGAACAAGUUACACAGACGGAUGCUGUUCAAACAAUUUUCCUGAACAGCGAGCUCUACAAGGCGACAACGACAACAGUCACAAGAAAUUAAUAGUUGAACUUGGACGGCAAUCAGAUUGAUAGUAACCGUAGCUUUACAAUGCAUCACAAUCUAUCACCUCAACGAAACGGAAGUCAAUGCACAUGUAGUCAGGCUUGACUCUAUAGUUCCAGGAAUUUUGUCAGCAUGCAAACAAUUUAUUAUACGGUCAACAGAAUUACAAAAGAAAUGUUUUGCUUGAAUGUAUUACCAAGUGUCAUUGUUAUAGAAGUAAAUCCAAAGUUAUAAGAAUGACGCAUCUUUGCCAUGUUCUGCCAGGUUUUUACAUUCUCUGUGUUUGUGUCUUGAGAUAUGGUAAAAGUAUAUAUGAUGUGUAUGUUGAUGAAAUAAAAGGUAUAGGCAAUUG